rnacentral:rRNA from 1 species
GAUGAACGCUGGCGGCGUGCCUAAUACAUGCAAGUCGAGCGAACGGACGCGAAGCUUGCUUCUCUGAUGUUAGCGGCGGACGGGUGAGUAACACGUGGAUAACCUACCUAUAAUACUGGGAUAACUUCGGGAAACCGGAGCUAAUACCGGAUGAUAUUUUGAACCGCAUGGUUCAAAAGUGAAAGACGGUCUUGCUGUCACUUAUAGAUGGAUCCGCGCUGCAUUAGCUAGUUGGUAAGGUAACGGCUUACCAAGGCAACGAUGCAUAGCCGACCUGAGAGGGUGAUCGGCCACACUGGAACUGAGACACGGUCCAGACUCCUACGGGAGGCAGCAGUAGGGAAUCUUCCGCAAUGGGCGAAAGCCUGACGGAGCAACGCCGCGUGAGUGAUGAAGGUCUUCGGAUCGUAAAACUCUGUUAUUAGGGAAGAACAUAUGUGUAAGUAACUGUGCACAUCUUGACGGUACCUAAUCAGAAAGCCACGGCUAACUACGUG